UAGGGAAUCUUCCGCAAUGGGCGAAAGCCUGACGGAGCAACGCCGCGUGAGUGAUGAAGGUCUUUGGAUCGUAAAACUCUGUUAUUAGGGAAGAACAAAUGUGUAAGUAACUAUGCACGUCUUGACGGUACCUAAUCAGAAAGCCACGGCUAACUACGUGCCAGCAGCCGCGGUAAUACGUAGGUGGCAAGCGUUAUCCGGAAUUAUUGGGCGUAAAGCGCGCGUAGGCGGUUUUUUAAGUCUGAUGUGAAAGCCCACGGCUCAACCGUGGAGGGUCAUUGGAAACUGGAAAACUUGAGUGCAGAAGAGGAAAGUGGAAUUCCAUGUGUAGCGGUGAAAUGCGCAGAGAUAUGGGGGAACACCAGUGGCGAAGGCGACUUUCUGGUCUGUAACUGACGCUGAUGUGCGAAAGCGUGGGGAUCAAACAGG
rnacentral:rRNA from 1 species